UUCCAGGCACCAGUUUCAUGAAGCCUUUGGAGGCCAAAGAACCUGCAUUGGUUUUGCUGUAGGUCACAUAGUCCUUGCUGAGGGUCGAACACAAGGACAAUCUACGACUCCAUCACACCACUGGGAGAAGCUCAGACACUUCCCACUGUUCCAGCAGGCCCUCCCAAAUGCACAUUGGUAAUACACUACAGAAGUACCACAGCAGGAGAGUGAGCACCGCCAGGAUGAGGAGGACAAAUAUGGACACGGGCAGGAUGCGGCUCCAUUUGCAUUUCUUUCUUCCUGCGAGGGUCAGACCAAAAAAAAAAAAAAAACGCUGAAUUGAGUCACUGUGCACACAACAGGUGCUGCGAGGAGUCAAGGUAAAACCAGUUAUGUUAAAAAAAUUAAAAAAAAAAAGACAGAUUUACAUACUGCAGUAUUACUCACACUAGGUCAAAUUUGAACAGUGCUUAGGUGUAAGAUGGGGAAGCACCAGAGAUAUGUUGCUGGGCAAAUAAAGCGGAACUUGUAACUACUUCCUUGUAUAGCGAAAGAAAACAAGGCACGAUUAAUCAUUUGUGAAUGGAAGAAAUUCAAGAGAACGGUGCUUGUUCUGCAAAAUUCCAAAGGAGGAUGUGGUUGAUGAUAUCCAGGGACUUAGGAGCACAGUCAGCAACCAAAAAAUGAACAAAAUAGUUUGUUGAAAUAGAUUUAGAUUCUGCAGCAUUUUAAUUAAAUAAAUCAAUCCUAUAAUGUAGAAAGUAAAUCCAGAUACCACUUUUCACUUCCAAAAUAAUACUGAUGUUGGAACCUUGAGUAUAUAAAACCAAUAUUGAUAUGAUAUCAGCUAAAUGACACAACAUACUUGUAUUAUUUUGUGGUGUGGAAUGUAAUUUUGUC